rnacentral:lncRNA from 1 species
UAUGUCUGACGCAUAUACAUGAAAUAAAAUUAUAAUUAUAUAUAUAAUAAUAAGAAUAAGAAUUCUAAUCUUAAUAAAAGGAAGGGUUCGAAUAGCAUCUACUAAUAUUAUAUUACCGAAAACUUUGUGAAAAUACUUCUACGAGAAGGUUUUAUUGAAAACGUUCGAAAACCAUAGGGAAAGUAACAAAUCUUUCUUGGCACGUGCCCCUGCUCCUGGUCUUCGAACUAGUCAUUAAUGGUCGGCAACAUAGGUACCCUUUUUCGGUAUGCGUUGCGAACACUUUCAUUUUUAGCGUCUCAUCUUCUCUGGAGAAGCUCAAAUCGAACGGAUAGAGCAGAUGGUCCAACUACAGAACUUCUUCUUUUUC